rnacentral:lncRNA from 1 species
CUACCACAUUAUUCUACCUUUAUAAGACUAUCACAUUAUUCUACCUUCAUAUAGACUAUCACAUUAUUCUACCUUUAUAUAGACUAACACAUUAUUCUACCUUUAUAUAGACUAUCACAUUAUUCUACCUUCAUAUAGACUAACACAUUAUUCUACCUUUAUAUAGACUAACACAUUAUUCUACCUUUUCACCAUUCGCAAUGCAUGUAGAUCCAUAUAAUCACACGUAGAAUCUCUCUGUUUAUCAAUUAUGUAAAUCACAUAAUACAACAGGUGUUGACUACCAUGAAAUGCUUGCUUACGAACCCCUGUCAACGAUGCAGAGUUAAAAUAGACUAAGACUAGUAGAAUCAAAUUAGUAGAAACUAGUAGAAUCAAAUUAUAUACAGAGAGUUCCAGUAUCAGCUCAAUGUGCAGAGGUACAGGGUAAAGUGACUAGACAUCAGGAUAGAUAAUAAUAAGGUAUUUGAGGUAGAUAUGUACAUGAAGGCAGGGUAAAGUGACUAGACAUCAGGAUAGAUAAUAAUAAGGUAUUUGAGGUAGAUAUGUACAUGAAGGCAGGGUAAAGUGACUAGACAUCAGGAUAGAUAAUAAUAAGGUAUUUGAGGUAGAUAUGUACAUGAAGGCAGGGUAAAGUGACUAGGCAUCAGGAUAGAUAAUAAUAAGGUAUUUGAGGUAGAUAUGAACAUGAAGGCAGGGUAAAGUGCCUAGGCAUCAGGAUAGAUAAUAAUGAGGUAUUUGAGGUAGAUAUGUACAUGAAGGCAGGGUAAAGGGAUUAGUCAUCAGGAUAGAUAAUAAUACAAGUCAAAUAAAGAGUAGCAGCAUAUGAUGCAUGUGAAUGUGUGUGUAUGUAUGUGUGUGGCUCGGUUUACAUGUCUGUGUUUUGUGUGUAUUUGUGUAUAUACACUGUAAACCUCAAUGUGAUGUCAUUACUCAAAACUUUUGGAGGAAACCCGUGGCACUUUAUAAUAUAUCUGAGUCCAGUUACUUACAUUGAUUUUGAAUGUCAUUACUCGAUAAAGUCACUGUGAUUCCAACUGCAGGAGCCUGUUGGUCUGAGAGCCGAUGCUCCGGUAUUGUUUGCCGGAUGGUAGCAGGAUGAACCGUCU